UACGUAGGCAGCGAGCGUUGUUCGGAGUUACUGGGCGUAAAGGGUGCGUAGGUGGUUUCUUAAGUCAGAAGUGAAAGGCUACGGCUCAACCGUAGUAAGCUUUUGAAACUGAGAAACUUGAGUGCAGGAGAGGAGAGUAGAAUUCCUAGUGUAGCGGUGAAAUGCGUAGAUAUUAGGAGGAAUACCAGUUGCGAAGGCGGCUCUCUGGACUGUAACUGACACUGAGGCACGAAAGCGUGGGGAGCAAACAGG
rnacentral:rRNA from 1 species